rnacentral:rRNA from 1 species
UACGUAGGGAGCAAGCGUUAUCCGGAUUUACUGGGUGUAAAGGGCGAGUAGGCGGGCUGGUAAGUUGGAAGUGAAAUCCCGGGGCUUAACCCCGGAACUGCUUUCAAAACUGCUGGUCUUGAGUGAUGGAGAGGCAGGCGGAAUUCCCAGUGUAGCGGUGAAAUGCGUAGAUAUUGGGAGGAACACCAGUGGCGAAGGCGGCCUGCUGGACAUUAACUGACGCUGAGGAGCGAAAGCGUGGGGAGCAAACAGG